rnacentral:tmRNA from 1 species
GCACUGGUAUCGCGGCGCGGGACGUCCUAUAUCAGGAUCGUCGUCCGGGAGCGAUCCCAGCCGACUAUGGUGAUAAACACGGCUCGGGAUAAGCGUUGCGGACCCGGGGGCAGUGCCCGGCGCCUCCACCAUUCCCCCCGCCUGGGGGGCUUUGGGGGCGAAACAGGCUCGACGCGCGUGGUAAUGGGGCCGUUUUUGCCCGGCAUGGUUCCGCCGUCAUCGGGCCAUUGAUAAGUGCGAACGACAACGACGCACUCGCUGUUGCUGCGUAAGCAGUAAACAAGCGCGGUUCGGGGGGCACCGGGCAACAGAAGCCCCCCACU